AGGAACACCCACCAAGGAUGUGAUUUGUGGCAUCUUCCUGUGUUAAUUUGAGGAAGUUGGAUAAAGCACCAAAUGCAGCAGAGCACUCCAGCCUGGAGUCAAGGACUACUCCAGCAGUCAGGAAGUCCUGCAGCCCAUCUCCGCAGACCUCCCACCUCCUCAGCCUCCUGGUCACCCGGACCACCAGGUCAUGCAGCUCUACAGAGCCACCAGCUGAAGCAAGCUGAGGCAAGUGCCAUCCUCUUGAAUCUUCAGAACUGAGCUAAAUCACCUUCUCCUUUUACAAGGUUGGGGUUUGGCCAAUGUGAGGGGCACCAUCAGAUCAGAGGAAGGGAUGGAUGAAUUUAAGACCCACUGACUUGCUAUACGUGAAUCUUUUUUUGGAUGGAAAAUAAGGCAAGUUCUAUCAAUGUAUAAGUUAUCUGGUUAUAACUUUUCCA
rnacentral:lncRNA from 1 species